GACGAACGCUGGCGGCGUGCCUAAUACAUGCAAGUCGAGCGAGACUCUUCGGAGUCUAGCGGCGGACGGGAGAGUAACACGUGGGCAACCUGCCUGUAAGACUGGGAUAACACCGGGAAACCGGUGCUAAUACCGGAUAAUCCUUUUCCUCUCAUGAGGGAAAGCUGAAAGUCGGUUUCGGCUGACACUUACAGAUGGACCCGCGGCGCAUUAGCUAGUUGGUGAGGUAACGGCUCACCAAGGCGACGAUGCGUAGCCGACCUGAGAGGGUGAUCGGCCACACUGGGACUGAGACACGGCCCAGACUCCUACGGGAGGCAGCAGUAGGGAAUCUUCCACAAUGGACGAAAGUCUGAUGGAGCAACGCCGCGUGAGCGAUGAAGGCCUUCGGGUCGUAAAGCUCUGUUGUUAGGGAAGAACAAGUACCGGAGUAACUGCCGGUACCUUGACGGUACCUAACCAGAAAGCCACGGCUAACUACGUGCCAGCCGCCGCAGUAAAAC
rnacentral:rRNA from 1 species